AGAGGAAGCCGGUGCGAAUCCGGCGCGGUCCCGCCACUGUCACCGGGGAGCGCACCCCACCCACGUCACGGCCCGUUCCGACGGGCGGGAAGACCGGGGCCCGCGCCGAUCCGGGAGCCAGGAGACUC
rnacentral:ncRNA from 1 species